GACGUAGGGCGCGAGCGUUGUCCGGAUUUAUUGGGCGUAAAGAGCGUGUAGGCGGCCAAAUAGGUCGGUUGUGAAAACUGGAGGCUUAACCUCCAGACGUCGACCGAAACCAUCUGGCUAGAGUCCGGAAGAGGAGAGUGGAAUUCCUGGUGUAGCGGUGAAAUGCGCAGAUAUCAGGAAGAACACCCGUGGCGAAGGCGGCUCUCUGGGACGGUACUGACGCUGAGACGCGAAAGCGUGGGGAGCGAACAGGG
rnacentral:rRNA from 1 species